rnacentral:rRNA from 1 species
GACGAACGCUGGCGGCGUGCUUAACACAUGCAAGUCGAACGGAAAGGCCCUGCUUUUGUGGGGUGCUCGAGUGGCGAACGGGUGAGUAACACGUGAGUAACCUGCCCUUGACUUUGGGAUAACUUCAGGAAACUGGGGCUAAUACCGGAUAUGAGCUCCUGCUGCAUGGUGGGGGUUGGAAAGUUUCGGCGGUUGGGGAUGGACUCGCGGCUUAUCAGCUUGUUGGUGGGGUAGUGGCUUACCAAGGCUUUGACGGGUAGCCGGCCUGAGAGGGUGACCGGCCACAUUGGGACUGAGAGACGGCCCAGACUCCUACGGGAGGCAGCAGUGGGGAAUAUUGCACAAUGGGCGGAAGCCUGAUGCAGCAACGCCGCGUGCGGGAUGACGGCCUUCGGGUUGUAAACCGCUUUCGCCUGUGACGAAGCGUGAGUGACGGUAAUGGGUAAAGAAGCACCGGCUAACUACGUG